ensembl:lncRNA
CCCUGCCCCUGACCCAGGCCGCUCUCUCACUCCCCACAAACCUUUGCGGCAGCGGCGGCACCACAGAACAAAAUGGCUGCAGCGGCCGGCAGCUACGGCGAGACCCUGGCUCAUGGAAUGGAGUUGUAUGUGUUCGUCUGUUGAGUGUCACACUCAGUGCUGAAAACAGAAUACAGAGAGACAUUCCUUGCCCUCUAGAGGAGAGAAAUUAUUGCAAUGUAAUAUGAUCAUAGAAAUGAAUGGCAAGUUAAGAAGAAACAGGCAAGAAAUUGUGAAUGGAUUGAACAUAUUUUUGGAAGAAAAUGCUUUGGAUUCAAUAUGUCAACUGGCAAAGAAGUCAACACUGACGUGGCUUCAUAGUAUGGCAAAAGACUUGAUUCACAGUAGUGUUACAUUCAUCUGAAUACUCUCCUGAAAGUCAACCUGGGCAGGCCAAUCUGGAUUUAAACCGACAGCUCCAUGCCCAACCAUACUUUCCUAAUCAAUUGUGGUCUCAUAAGAAUUUAGAAUGUAUGCGGAGAUGGCCAAACAAAAAAAUGUUUAUUCCAAGAUCUGUGUCUGUUCUCCAUCUCUCUCUCUUUCUGUCCUUCCCUCUCCCUCUCUUUCUCUCUCCCUGCCCCCUCCCCUUGACACCCAAACUAACGUAUUGAUGAUCUUCCAGUUUGUGUAAACAUGUCAUAAAUAUGUAUUUGUUACUAGUUUUGGAGGAAAUAUAUCAGUUUUUGAGGUUGAAGUAGGAGAUACGUGCAGUAAGAUUAUUGAAUUAUGAACGAGAUUUAGAGAAUUUAUUGAUCUCUUACAAUCCUAAAAUUUUCAAGCCGCAGCUAUAACUCUAGACUGCAGUGACUACUAAGUGCUAUAUAAUGUAAACCCUUAGCCAAUAUCUCAGGAUUCUGACCAUGCUUAUAUGUACUAGAAAGAGUCAAGAAUUUCGUAUAGAAAUUUGACCAAAUUUAAUUUAAUCUAGAAAUUUGACUAAAUUUAUACAACAUGGAUUUUUAAAAUUCAGUAGUUUUUGGUUAUUACAAACAUCCAUCCUGUAGUUUCUUUAAAGGCUGAUUUUUUUAAAGGCUUUAAACUGUCGUUCCUACUAUCUUUAAUGAAUUGACAAAUCAUUUUGUCUAUUGGUUGCCAUUUUCUCUUAUUUUUCCCUGAAUUAGUUGAAUUAAUUGCUUUAGCAAGCGUUGUGUUAAAAACUCAGUUUUCUAAGGGACCCUCUAUUUGUUUCUUUCCACUCCUAGUUUUUCUUUUAUAUUUACCUCAACUAUUUCUUUUUUUUUUUAAAGAUUUUAUUUUUUCCCUUUUUCUCCCCAAAGCCCCCCAGUACAUAGUUGUGUAUUCUUCGUUGUGGGUCCUUCUAGUUGUGGCAUGUGGGACGCUGCCUCAGCGUGGUUUGAUGUGCAGUGCCAUGUCCGCCCCCAGGAUUCGAACCAAUGAAACACUGGGCCGCCUACAGUGGAGCACACGACCUUAACCACUCAGCCACGGGGCCAGCCCCUCAACUAUUUCUUUUAAUAAUACAAAUUGGUUAGUCUCUCUUUCCUUAUGAACAUGACAAGAAUGCAAAAUAAGUAUAUAAUGAUUAGAAUACACAGUCAUGCAUUGCUUAACAAUGGGGAUCCAUUCUGAGAAAUGUGUCGUUAGGCACUUUCGUUGUUUUGUGAACAUCAUAGAGUGUACUUACACAAACCCAGAUGGUAUAGCUUACUACACACUGAGGCUAUAUGAUACUAAUCUUGUGGGACCACCAUCAUAUAUGCGGUUCGUCAUUAACUGAAACGUCAUUAUGUGGCACAUGACUGUAUAUGUGUAUCCAGUUAUAGUGAAAAUUAAACAAUUUAAUAUAAUCUUAUAUGGGGAAGGAAUUUAAAAAUUUUUUAAAGUGUGUGCUGUACUUUUUGUAGUUGGUGCACUGCAGAAUGUACACAAUUCCAAAUAAUAAACCCUUUUCUUGAUAAUUAAAUAAUGAUAAAAGUUGAGACAGCUUGGAUAUGUGGUUACAUAUAGUAAUUAAAUUUAUGAAGACUGAAGGCCCUAUGAAGUACGUAUAAACAACUCAUGAGUUUCUGUAUCAUAUGAUUUGGAUUCUUGACUAUAUCUUUUGUUUUACAGAUCAGGAAAUCCUGUGGUGUGUUAGUAAGGUAACACGUUAUACCACAUUAUAGGCAGGGUUAAGCUUUAUUAGAUGCCACAAUAAAAUUGGUAUUUUUCUUUAUUCUUUUGAUGUAAAAAAUUACCUCGUGUUUCCUUUCAAAACUUAAGCAGCAAACUAAUAGAAUUUUCAUUGAUCAUAAGUUGUUUCUAGAAGGACCAGAAAAACUAUUGUAACCAAAUCACCUGGCUGAGAGCACUUGACUGCAAAGCUGUGGACUAUUUUAUUUGAAUUUAAAAUCAUCUACACCUUGGCUAACGAAGAAAAGGAACUAUUGGGAGAAGGUGUGAAUGCUUUGUAUAAUCUUAAAUAAGUGAAAUGUAUAUAUUUUAUAUGUUUUUACUCAGAUGUGUAUCUCAAAAUAUAAUAGUCUCAAGGACUCCUUAAAUGUACAUUAGUAAGCCUUUUUUCCUAAAGCAAAUUUGACAAAUGUCUUUAUUUUAGGAAAAGAAAAGAAAGCGACUGGAAUGCUUUGGAUUCCUUUGAUGUUCUCCCUUAACUUUUCCUGUUUUAUAUAUUAAAGUAAAUAAAAUGGCCAAAUUAAGAUA